CCAGGUGCUGGUCGGUGCCGACGGUGCGGGCGUGCCAGGCCUUGCCGGUGACGUCCAGCACGGCACCGAGCCGGUUCGACUCCGUCUCGUCCGGGCC
rnacentral:tRNA from 1 species